AUAUCUCACUCUUGAAUUCCUUGUGAAGUCAAGCAGUGGACUUUGGAGGUUUUGCAGGCCAUCACUGGUCAGCUCCUCUUAAAUGCAUUAGCGGAACUCUAUGCAGUACCGGCCUCGGUUUGAUAAUCCUAUCUAUGCUGUCGCUGUUGUGCUGUGCUGUUUGGCUUACAAUUGUCUUCGGACUGUCACUAUUGUGGCAUAACAUUAA
rnacentral:misc_RNA from 1 species